UACAGAGGUCUCGAGCGUUGUUCGGAUUCAUUGGGCGUAAAGGGUGCGUAGGUGGCUUGGUAAGUCGGAUGUGAAAUCCCGGGGCUCAACCCCGGAACUGCAUUCGAUACUGCUUGAGCUUGAGUCCUGGAGAGGAGAUCGGAAUUUACGGUGUAGCAGUGAAAUGCGUAGAUAUCGUAAGGAAGACCAGUGGCGAAGGCGGGUCUCUGGACAGUUCCUGACGCUGAGGCACGAAGGUCAGGGGAGCAAACGGG
rnacentral:rRNA from 1 species